GGCAUUGGACCGGAUUUACGUGGGAAAAUAGAAAACAGAGAGGGCCAGAGCGGGGUCGGGGGGGGUGACUUCCGUCCGGACGGGACGAUCGAUUCUUGGCGCACCGCCCUGAUUCCGAUCCGGCCGCGAGCUGCGGAGACCCACCGAUCGAGAGGGCGAUGAACAUCCUCGUGCGCGCGGGGCUUCCCCUUCCUCCGCCGCGUGAGCUCGAUCGCUCACUGUUGCCUCUUCGACCUACCGACGGCAGCCGCGCGCGAGCGAGCCCGCAAAGGAACCCAACCAAAAAGGUUCUCAAAAGGGUCUAGCCUGUGGUGAACCUGAAUGUUGAUGAUAGCCCAACAUUGAACGGCAAAAGGACAUUCAAGAAAGAGGUGUGUCAAGGAUUCUUCAACAUUUGCAUUGCAAAGAACACAGUUCUCAAAAGUUGCACCAACGUGAAACAUAAUACUACAAGGUAGAGUGGUGGCUGCAAAGUACCUGAACUACAUGCGGUAGAGUGGUGGCUGCACAAGUACCUGAACUACAUGUGGGUAACCCUUAGAAUCAUCAACAGACUACAACAGUUGCAACAAAGUGAAACAAAAUACAAGUGGUGGCUGCACAAGUAUCUGAACUACAUGCGGAGCCGAUCCCAGAAACCCAUCAGUUGAAUCCCCGUCAGAAGACUAGAGCCACCCUCUCUGCCAUUUAUCCGGACAAGGUGACCAAACCCAUUAUCAUGUACAAUGCCAUGCAGCAAGUGACGUGGAUUAUCCAGCUGCCUAUAGUCCCAAUCUUCCGGAUCAUCAUAGGAGAUCCCAUUUUUGCAUGACGGGCACCUGAUUAUUAAUGAUGAAGAUGAUCAGUUCUUGUAGGGGCUUGCGUUGCUGGAUACAUGUGUCUCGAGUUGCUUGAAUCAAACAAUUGCUUGUUGCAGUACUAUCUUUUUCACUAUUUGGGUUAUUAUUGUUGAGGGGUUUGAUUUUGUAUUACACUACAGUAACAAUUGAUGAUUUUACAGGAUAGGUUAGCUUACCGUGUUUCAAACAACUGGGCCAUAAACCCACAAUGCUUGCAGGUUUUGUAGUCUUGCACGUCAUAUUCAUUCCGAAUUAUGAAAUGGUACCUCCUCCCACAAACAGGGUGUCUGCUCCAGCCUAUUAAGUUGCAAGACAAAAGAAGCAAAAAAAAUGUGCACACACGUUCAGGCGAACACACAGAAGCAGGCUGCAGGCAGAGCAAUGUGUAUGCGGAAUUGCGGAGUCAAGGCUAC